CCUACGGGAGGCAGCAGUGAGGAAUAUUGGUCAAUGGACGAGAGUCUGAACCAGCCAAGCAGCGUGAAGGAUGACUGCCCUAUGGGUUGUAAACUUCUUUUAUCAAGGAAUAAAACGAGGCACGUGUGCCUUUUUGCAUGUACUUUAUGAAUAAGGAUCGGCUAACUCCGUGCCAGCAGCCGCGGUAAUACGGAGGAUCCGAGCGUUAUCCGGAUUUAUUGGGUUUAAAGGGAGCGUAGAUGGGUUGUUAAGUCAGUUGUGAAAGGUUGCGGCUCAACCGUAAAAUUGCAAUUGAUACUGGCAGUCUUGAGUACAGUUGAGGUAUGCGGAAUGCGUGGUGUAGCGGUGAAAUGCUUAGAUAUCACGAAGAACCCCGAUUGCGAAGGCAGCUUACUAAACUGUGACUGACAUUGAUGCUCGAAAGUGUGGGUAUCAAACAGGAUUAGAUACCCGAGUAGUC
rnacentral:rRNA from 1 species